rnacentral:rRNA from 1 species
AGUGAACGCUGGCGGUAGGCCUAACACAUGCAAGUCGAACGGCAGCACAGUAAGAGCUUGCUCUUACGGGUGGCGAGUGGCGGACGGGUGAGGAAUACAUCGGAAUCUACUUUUUCGUGGGGGAUAACGUAGGGAAACUUACGCUAAUACCGCAUACGACCUACGGGUGAAAGCAGGGGAUCUUCGGACCUUGCGCGAUUGAAUGAGCCGAUGUCGGAUUAGCUAGUUGUCGGGGUAAAGGCCCACCAAGGCGACGAUCCGUAGCUGGUCUGAGAGGAUGAUCAGCCACACUGGAACUGAGACACGGUCCAGACUCCUAAGGGAGGCAGCAGUGGGGAAUAUUGGACAAUGGGCGCAAGCCUGAUCCAGCCAUACCGCGUGGGUGAAGAAGGCCUUCGGGUUGUAAAGCCCUUUUGUUGGGAAAGAAAAGCAGCAGGUUAAUACCCCGCUGUUCUGACGGUACCCAAAGAAUAAGCACCGGCUAACUUCGUG